UACACUUCGAGAUCUCGCCUUCAGAAUAAUAACAUGUAACCAAUUUUUUCAAUUCGAAUUUAUACAGCUUCUGAAAACUUAUCGUUACUCCUAAUAAUGUUAUGACAGUUUGUAAUUUAAGACAAGAAAAAUAAAAAUUUCUCUGCGUUGUUAUCUGCGUUUGUCUGUAAGUAUCGACAACAAACAUAGCAACAACCUCAACCUAGACACCGAAACUCCUGACACGACGAUCACAACCAACACAAA